GGAAGAAAAGUGGUAGGAAUUGGAAGUAAAUUGUAAAAUUAGUAAAUAGUGCACCACUAAUACUAAAUACAUAUAUAAUUGUAUGCUAUGUAAUACCGUAUAAUUUUUUUUAAAGUAACUGAUUUAAUAUGACAAGGCUAUCUAGACCAGAUGGGCAGAGUUUGCUCCUAAGGUGAUUCACUAUAACGUUGCAUGGAAGAUCACAGACUUUUAUUUAUGGUUAUCCCUCUUGAGAAAAAAGUUUCGUUAGGGCUGAUGAAGUAUUUGCUUCAAAAAAAAAAAAAACUUUCAUUUAAUUAUGAAGUGAGGGUCUAUUAUAUUCGCAUUUCUUUCGUCAUGGGGUCCUCUUCUUCCUUGUCCAAACACUGCAAGUGGGCAGGCUUUACGAUCAAGGUUGUGGAAUGAGCCAAUGAGAAAAUCAAGCGUACACUGGUGUGCAGCUUGGAAAAUUUCCAGUGGUGCAUGGAAUCUUGUUUUGUAGGCACUACAAUUUCAAAAGGUGGGUGUCUGCUGCUAAUUCCCAGGCAGGACAAGCAUAAGUCAUUACUGAUCUGAUCAAUGCAUUAUGGAGGGUUAUUUUAAUGUUGGCACUUAAACACUCGCUUUUGAAUAGGGAGUCGAUUCUAAUAAAUGUUCUGAAGGCCCUGGCUGUGCCGUCUCCAUGUAACCUCAUAUCGAAGAUUACACCCAGAGAUUUUACAUGAUUCAUGAAGGGGAUGUUCUGUCCAUUCAAUGUAAGAUCAUUAGGGGACCUAAGUCUGUGAGAAAAAUAGAGGGCCUCAGUCUUAUCGUCAUUGAUUUUCAUGUUCCAGCACUCGCACAAUAUCUCAACAGCACUGAUACCUUGCAGCAGCCUCCUGAGAACAUAACCCUCUUUGCAGUCUCUCGCAUAUAUACAGGUGUCAUUAAUAAAGAGACCUAAAUAGACACUAGGUGUUCGGGGCGUAUCGUUCUGUGGGUGUGUAUACUGUAGAAUGUGGGGAACAGGUGGAACCUUGUGGCUCCCCUGCUUAUAUAUCUCUUGAUGCAGACAUUUCAUCUUCAGCAAAGAACAAUUUUCCCUGACAAAGGAGAGAGCUAAUAAGCUCGAUCAGAGUGACCGAAAAUUUUAAGUUACUUCAUAUAACAAGUCAAGUUUCCAUGUUGUAUAAAGGCCUUUUCAGUAAUCAAGGAUACCGCAGAUGUAGACAUGUUACUGUUGAAAUUUACACUGACAUGGUCCAUAAGCAUUAUACACUGAAGUGCCAUGUUGUGGCAGGCACAGACACCAAACCAGCUUGCAUUAACUCUUUGACUGGCGCGAAGGGUAUUUAAAUCCCACCCCUGUCCUGGCAGGCCCU